CGGGCCGUGGCGCAGUUGGUAGCGCGCUUCGUUCGGGACGAAGAGGCCGCGAGUUCGAGUCUCGCCGGCCCGA
rnacentral:tRNA from 1 species